UACAUCCUGAUAAGAAACGAUCUUUAGGCAGCCUCUAGAAAUCAGAAAUUUGAUAAGAACGGUUCUUUAGGCAGCAAAGUCAGAACUAAAAAAUAUAGCUCCUGGUUCACAAUAAUGAAAUUAGUAGCCAAACCACCCAAAUCCGAUUUCAGUAACAAUAGAGAAAUCAGAAACAAAAAAACCAAUAACCAUAAGUCUCAGAGAUGAAAUAAGAUAUAUAAGAAACAAAUAAGAUUUCUAAAAAACUAAAUAAACACUGAUUUCGAUAACAAAACUUAACCAUAAGUCAAACAGAUGAAUAAGAAGUCAAACAGAUUUCAGAUGAACGAUUGAUCUUUCAGACUAUGAUUAACUUUUCCUGUAUAGAAGUAGAGAAGAAAUAAGAUGAAUAAGAAAUCAAAGAGAUUUCUGAAACAAACCUAAAUAAACAUAGAUUUCAAAUAAUAAGCAGUGGAAAUCAGAUAGAGAAUACAUCAAAUAGAUAAGAAAUAAAUAGAUUUCGAGACUAAAUUUACCCAAAAUGAUUUUGAAACUGCAAUAUCCAGAAUAAAUAGAGUUAGAGGAUAAAUCUGAAACACUAAAACAACCAGCGACCAACAACAUACAAUCACGCCAACAUCACUAAAUCAAAAAUUAAGAAUUGAUAAAUCAGUGUCACUUUUCAGAAUCCCUAUAUCUCUAACAAUGAAGAACCGAUUAAACAACAAUAUCAACAUCCGUUCUUACUUUCUAUUUAUUAGAGAAAGAGACAGAGACAUAUUACAGGUUAAUAGGAAUUGAUUACCUCGUGGACAACAAUUUCUAGGCGCCAUGGGACGUUUCGUUUCUCUAUGUCGCUUUGUCUGGCUUUGGCGCCUCUCUUUUUCCCUAAUCUCUUUCCAUCAGUAAACACAAAGAUA
rnacentral:lncRNA from 1 species